GCUUGUUCCAAAUGAAACAUGAGCUUCUUCAUCUCUUCAUAGCACGAGCUAGUUCUUCCCUCUGUGGCUGCUACUUCUGCUUCUUCCGCCGUUGCCGCUGCUGAGCCGUUGCGUCACAUAAUAUCUCUCUGUCAUCCCUUGCGUCGCAUGAGAUCCCUCCGUCGCCGCUCUCGUCGCAUCUACUCCCAUCGUCGCAGAGCUCUCUCUGUCGCCCCUCUCAUCGCAUCUGUUCCCUCUGACUCCUCUUCCAUCUAAGCUCAACCCGCUCUCUCAGUUCUUCUCGUAACCAUCUCAAAUUUCAGGUUUUCUCUGAAGAAAGGUGGAAAGGAUGGUGAUGAUGGUACUGAAGAAGUGACUAUUUUAACGUUGGUAGAGAAGUCCAUGUUGUCCACGCUUCAAAGAGCUUCAUUGGUAGAGAAGUCCUGGCAGAAGCCACCAGAGAGGAUGAGGGUUUUAUCUAAUGCACUAAAAACCAGCAACUAUGGUUCUGAACCUAUACUUCAAAAUUGUGGAAUUUCUAUAAGCACCAGCUUUACUCAAGUGGAUGGUCAUGUUCUGCUUUCAACAAGGGAAUUUUUAGCUCUCCAAGCAAGUUCUCCAACCAAACAAGCUCAGCUUCACAUGAUGUAAGGCUCCUAAAUUCUCUCUCUAUGAAAGCUAGUAGCUUAUAUUAGUAGCCUAUUUUCUACAAGAUCAAGAGAUAAGAUUAGACCCAAGGUAUAAACAAAAGCCUGAAACUGAAACUGACCUUCUAUCUCAAUAUUCAUUGCCCAAUUUGAAUAAGAGAAGGCAAACAAUUUCGUGAUCUCAUAUUUGUGAAGCUGCAACCCAUACUCUUUUGUCCCUUGAAGAUAGCUCAACACCUUUUCGAUAGCCUUCUAGUGAAUAAUAAGGGACAAUGUAUGAAUUGACUUCCCUUGCUCACUGCAAAGGAUAAUUUAGGGCGAGUGAUAGUGAAGUACUAUAAUGAUCCAAUCGCAGUCCUUUAGAACUUUGGAUCUUCGGAUUUUUUAAACCUGUAGACAUCAAAUAAAGAGAAGAAAUCAUAGGAUUAGGCUUUGGACUUGUCCUCCCAUACCAAGUACGG